UACGAAGGGGGCUAGCGUUGUUCGGAAUUACUGGGCGUAAAGCGCACGUAGGCGGAUAUUUAAGUCAGGGGUGAAAUCCCAGAGCUCAACUCUGGAACUGCCUUUGAUACUGGGUAUCUUGAGUAUGGAAGAGGUAAGUGGAAUUGCGAGUGUAGAGGUGAAAUUCGUAGAUAUUCGCAGGAACACCAGUGGCGAAGGCGGCUUACUGGUCCAUAACUG
rnacentral:rRNA from 1 species